GACGAACGCUGGCGGCGUGCUUAACACAUGCAAGUCGAACGAAGAGCGAUGGAAGCUUGCUUCUAUCACUCUUAGUGGCGAACGGGUGAGUAACGCGUAAUCAACCUGCCCUUCAGAGGGGGACAACAGUUGGAAACGACUGCUAAUACCGCAUACGAUCUAAUCUCGGCAUCGAGGAUGGAUGAAAGGUGGCCUCUACAUGUAAGCUAUCACUGAAGGAGGGGAUUGCGUCUGAUUAGCUAGUUGGAGGGGUAACGGCCCACCAAGGCGAUGAUCAGUAGCCGGUCUGAGAGGAUGAACGGCCACAUUGGGACUGAGACACGGCCCAGACUCCUACGGGAGGCAGCAGUGGGGAAUCUUCCGCAAUGGACGAAAGUCUGACGGAGCAACGCCGCGUGAGUGAUGACGGCCUUCGGGUUGUAAAGCUCUGUUAAUCGGGACGAAAGGCCUUCUUGCGAAUAGUGAGAAGGAUUGACGGUACCGGAAUAGAAAGCCACGGCUAACUACGUG
rnacentral:rRNA from 1 species